UCCCUACAGUUGUGGCAUUUACAGUGGAAUAGGAGAGCUUAAUAUUAAACAGUUACAUAAACAAUUAUUCAAUUACAAUAUGAUUAAUGAUACAAAGAACAAAUAUAGCGUGCAAUAAGAGCAUAUAAAUGAAAAAUAUAAUUUAGUUGGAUAUGUCAGGGAAAUGUCCCUGAGAAAAAGACAGCUAACCUUAAUAUUAAAACUUAUUUACUCAAAAAUAAGUGUGCGAAACUGUAUAGUUAACUUAUCUUCAAUUCAGUCAAUCUAAAACAUCAACUAAAUAAUGUAUUCACAGAUAUACCACACAAUGACAGUUAGUGUUCGUAAUGAUAAUCUUGGAUGAGAAAAGAGCCUACAGGGUCUUUUAGAUCAUCACAGUUAAAUUAUACUUGGCUAAUAUAGUUUGAAUAUUUAGUACAAUUUCAUGUUCAAAACUUCUGAAACACUUUUAUUCACAUGUAGACCAUAUAAUACUUAUAUUAUAGUAGACCAUCCUAUUUCACAAUCAAAUUAUACAACAGUAUACUAAAUUAUCAUAUCAGUUUUUUGUUUCUUUAAUAGUUGCUAAUAUAUGUGUAUAGUUGUGAACAUACCUGUAUAUGUGUAUGUGAUAUGUAUAUAUAUCAACUGUAUAGUUAAAACACCACAUGUAUAGAAGAGACCAUCUGACUAGUAUUUAAGCUUAGCCAUGAGAAUGGAAUUUGGAAGAUGAAGAAUGUGACCUGGAGGAAAGAAGAAAAUGAUUACAGAGGGGCAUUUGAGAGUGAGAGGAUAGAGAAGAGAGAAAGAGGUUGAGGAAAGAAGAUAUCAGAGUCCCCUCACUGCCCUCCCCAUUAACACACUCAAGGCUAAGCUAGUGAGGGGAGAGUAUCUUUGGGAUACUGGACAAAAUAUGGAAUUCCAAGAACCAGGAAGCUUUUGUCUUAUUCUAAAAGGAUAUAACUUGCAGGCUGUCUCCAGAUCAAUUGAGUGGUAGAUCCAUAUUACAAAUAAACAUGAUAGCAGAGUGUGAUUAGGCAGAAGAAGGUGCAUCUCAGCACCUCCUUCUGUGUAAUGUGGAAAUGAGCAGCUAUUGUAGUGGGAAUGAGCAACUCCACAGUAAAGGCAUUAGGCUGUGCCAUCUGGGCAGUGGAUGACAGAGAUAUCAGUGUGUGGCUGGGGUCUGAAGCCUGUUCAGGGUCAAGAUGAGCCUAAGUCAUCCAGAAAGGCUGAUGAAAUCAGCAAAAGUCAGCCAGACAAAGGGCACUGUCAAGGCCAUCAUAUGGCUCUAAGCAUCCCUUUUCCCACCUCCUCAAGAGCACCAAGAAAGACACCAACAUCCAUUGCCAAUUUCCUUCUCCUUGCCAGUAGGGAGGCUGAAAAAAAACAGAUACUCUCUUUCUAUUAAUAUAUCUUCCUUAUAGAGUAGGAUGGAUAUUUGGCUAAGUAUUGAUCAAUAAGAUAAAGUGGAAUUUGCUGGGUGGUGGGCGGGGGUCCUUUGUGUAAUAAUUUUGUGUCUUGAUAAAGUAGGAAUAUGGCUGGGACCAUCCCUGACUCUCUUUUUUCCUUGAAUGUGAACACAUGAGUGAAGCAUACAUCCAUUGUCCAUGGGGCAAGAAACAUGAGGAUGAAAAGCCAAUAUGUUAAGGACAUGAAGUGAAAAGCGGGAAGAGCUUCUUAUUCAUGUUAUCACUGAGCAGCGGGAACUGGGGGCUCUGCUCAUUAUAGUUGCCCACGGCCUCCAGUCAAUGAAAUUUCCGGCCAAUGAAAUGCUCUACUGUGACUGAAGCAGCAAAGAGAAGAUGGGUGGCUUUGAAAUCAGAA
rnacentral:lncRNA from 1 species